CGCUUCAGUGCAAGAUACAGCGCUGUCACAACGCACGAUAAGACGAACAUAAGCUGGGUUAUGAUCAGCGGAUAUCAUCCAGGGUUCCUCAAUCAAGAUAACAGAGAGCUGACCAACAGCCCAACACAGUAGAAAAUACUGCCGAGGAGGCUGUCGACAUUAUCAGGGCCGUAAAGUCCAGGCAGAAGAAGUCCAAUAACAGGCCAACAACCAAGAGGAACCGAACAAAUUAGUGAUUAGAAAUUAAAUGAAAGUGGAACACUACACCUAUCAACAAAUCCUCAUAUAUGUCCUUAUACUAAUAACAAAAAAAUUAUUUUUGCCAUGUACUGGGGUCCGGAAUAUUGCAUGUGUGAGC